AAGAUCACCAGUUAUGCAGCCAGCAGUGGGGUAAUGAGCACCCACCAAAUAUUGCUGAAAUUACCAAAUCAGGAAUUUCAGGAUUAUUGAUUCUUAAUGAUGUCUGACAGGUCCCUAUAUAAUUUUGUCAGUUCAGUCCUAAAAAGUUGUCAAAAUUUAUGUAUGGGAGAAUACUUGUAAAUAUGACAAAUUCUUGAAGACCUGUUUCCUUCCUCUCCGAAGGAAAACAGUUAAAAGGUGCCAGUAUCAAAACUCAGCAAUGAAGUUGCCAGGCCUUCAGCUAGUUUGUUCAAAGUAGUUGAGUACAUUUAAUUCCCAAAUGGACCAAACAGGUCCCUGUCAUUUCCCAGCAUCUCCCAAUCCCAGGAGACCACUGAAACUUCACCUCAGAGUUUAAACAAUAAGGACUGAUGACAAAGAAGCUGAGAUUUCCUGGGCUUCACAGGCAAGGUCACUCAACCAGAUACAUUUUUUCCCAGAUGAAGUUUCCAGCAAGUGUAAAAAGGACUGUCCUUUGAGGAAGAUGAGAGCCAGGACUAGCAACUGUUGUCAGUGACAAAGACCUCAAACACCCUGUGUUGAAACUCUGUUUCCAGAGGUGACCCAAACGAACUGGAUUUUGCAGUAAGAAAGGGGAUUGCUUAAGCAACCCCCCAGAAAAACAACCUGAUAUCAUUUCCCAGAUCCCCAGAUGAGACCUGAGAAUGACAGGGUUUUUUCUCACAACAGUACAAUAACAGGAAUUAAAUAAAAAUAUGAAACCAUACA
rnacentral:lncRNA from 1 species